rnacentral:rRNA from 1 species
UACGAAGGGGACUAGCGUUGUUCGGAAUUACUGGGCGUAAAGGGUGCGUAGGUGGCGGGGCAAGUCAGGUGUGAAAUCCCGGGGCUCAACCCCGGAACUGCACUGGAUACUGCCUUGCUGGAGUCCUGGAGAGGAGACUGGAAUUUACGGUGUAGCAGUGAAAUGCGUAGAGAUCGUAAGGAAGACCAGUGGCGAAGGCGAGUCUCUGGACAGGUACUGACACUGAGGCACGAAGGCCAGGGGAGCAAACGGG